rnacentral:lncRNA from 1 species
AAAAAUAAGGGGACCAAAAUACAUUUAAGCAUAUCAUAAAAUGAUGUCACUGAAGCAGAUAAUCAUAAUCAAUAGAGUGGAGGAAGAGGUUUCCAAAGGCACCAACAUUAAACAAAAGCAUCUGCAUUCAUUCACUCAUGAGCAACAAAAACCACUUGUUUACCAACAUUGUGACCACUAAAGAGACCAACUAAUGCUUUAGGGCCAUUCUCUAGUCCCUUAGCUAUGUCUUCUACAUACACAAUCUUUCCUUCUCUUAUUAGAGGCAGAAUAAACUCCAAGAAUUUUGUAUAAAAGUGAUAGUAAUCCGGUGCAAUAAAACCUUGCAUCUGAAUCCGCUUAUAUAUGAUAUGUGCCAAAUUUGUUAUACCUUCGGGUUGAAUAAGAUUAUACUGUGAAAUCAUUCCACACACAAGUAUGCGACCAUGGACUCUCAUAUUCGGGAGUACAGCAUCGAGUGUCUUGCCUCCAACAUUCUCAAAGUAAAUGUCAAUGCCUUCUUGAAAGUACCUGAUUUACAUAAAGUCUCGUGUAAUGUAAGUAUACAUUUUUAUGCCAAUAAAUUAAUUUAAUUUAAUUUUUCUACCACAAAACUGUUAUAAACUGACCUUUUCAAUGCUGCAUUGAGGUCAUGCUCUUCUUUGUAGUUAAAGGCUUCAUCAUAUCCAAAUUUAUUCUUCAACAGAUCCACCUAGUUUGCCACAAUUCUAUUGAAAAUUGAAUAAUAGUGUUUUUGUAACAAUAUAAUCAAACUAACUAAACAUUGCAAAGUUUGCAAAGACUUGGAUUUUGGUAAUUGUAGUUUUAGGAUAAUUCAAAAUAAUAGUACUAUUGGUCUUAGGAUUGCCUGAUUUAUAAGGUGAGGAUUGUCUAACUUCUUAACACAUCCCCUCGCGCCUAGCACUAUUGGGCUUAGGGAGUGGAUAUAAAUGGUGGAUGGCCCGGUCAUAAACCUGAUAGCAUACAGCCCAACGGAUCGUUGAGGAGGCUCUGAUAAUAUCUUAGAAUUGAGAAUUGGGCCUAACUCAACCCUACAANNNNNNNNNNNNNNNNNNNNNNNNNNNNNNNNNNNNNNNNNNNNNNNNNNNNNNNNNNNNNNNNNNNNNNNNNNNNNNNNNNNNNNNNNNNNNNNNNNNNNNNNNNNNNNNNNNNNNNNNNNNNNNNNNNNNNNNNNNNNNNNNNUUGAGAAUUGGGCCUAACUCAACCCUACAAAACCGGCUUAUAAGGUGAAGAUUGCAAUACUUAUAAACAUUUAUUCAGGUCAUCUCUCAACCAAUGUGAGACUUCUUAACAUAAAAUGACCUCACUAGGCUCUAACACCGAGGAAAAUUAAUAGUACUUCAAACAGCAGAAUAGAUAACAAAAUGUUAAUGUUGAUUUAUCAUUUAUGCAGGCACAUAUAACACCAAUAGUAAUUCAAAAGAAUUACAAAUACCUUUUCUUUAGUUCCUGCACUUCCAACAACAUAGCAACCUGUUAGUUUAGCAAAUUGACCAACAAGUUGACCAACUGCACCAGCAGCAGCUGAAACAAAAACAUUGUCUCCUUUUCUGGGAGUGCCUACUUCAAAGAAACCAGCAUAAGCAGUCAAUCCUAUCAUUGCUGCACUAAAACAAAAAUAUAUGUAAAAAGUCAUAACAAAAUAGAAUGACAAAAAACCUAUGCAAUUGACUUCCAUAACCUUGCUCCUAAGAUUCAUGUUCAAGAAGUAUUAUGCAUACUCAAAUAUAAAAUAUAAAUUGAAAGUGUUGAAUACAUACCUAGAAUUCCAGUAUAGUGAGAAAGUGGAACAUCAGUGUGUUCAAUUUUGCGCAUUCCAGUUGCAGGGACCAAGCUAUACUCUUCCCAUUUAGUCAUACCCCAAACUAAAUCACCUUUCUUAUAAUCUUGGUGUCCAGAUUCCAUAACUUUAGACACACCAUAUCCUGUCAAUGGCUGCAAUUACUCAACAUUUAGUAGCUACAUUUUAUACUCAAGAUUAAACUUAGUCCCAAGCUAGGCGUAAAAGUGUAUAUUGCGCUUGAAUUUGAAUUCCACACUGUCGAGGUUGUUAAGAAUAAUGGUGAUUAGCUAAUAUCUUCCAUUAGUUAGUUAGAGUUUAUAUUAGUUUGUUAGAGUUUGUUAUUAGGUGGUUAGUUAGUUAACCCCUAAAUUGCUCUAUAUAAGAGCCACCAUUGUAUCAUUUUCACUAUCUUUUAUCAAAUAUGAAUCCUUAUGAUUUUUACUAUCUUGAAGACUUUCUAAAGUUUUCUCCAUUUUCUCCAAACCAUGGAAAUCUUAACAGAGGUUCUCGAACUGUGCAAUGUACAUGGAGUAAACCACCAAAUUCGUCUCUGACUUUGUAAGACACUUUCAAAUAGCUCUCUGACUUUAUGAAUAUUUCAAAAAAGUUCCUCACUCAGUCAAAUUUACUCAUAUUAGUCCUUCUUAGAGUAUUCUAAGGACUAAAUUGAUAGUAGGUGGAUAAACUUAGGGACCAAAUUGAUAGUAAGUUGUUAAAAUAUAGGCACUUAAUUGAUAGUAAGUGGUUAAAUGUAGGGACCAACUUGACAGUUUAAUCGAAUCGGGGACCUUUUUAAAAUACUCAGAGACCUAUUUGAGAGUGUUUUACAAAGUCAUUCACUAACUUAGUGGCUAAUUACUCAUAUAUGUGGUGUUUAGACACACUAAAUUAUAAAUAUAAUUGAUGAAAGAGAGAGCAUUACAUACAGAACCAGGAGUGUAAGCACCAAGUCCUGCAGUAGUGUCCUUGGUCAUCAGAAUCCGCAUGUAUGGAUCACAUGACAAGUACAAAUUUUUUAGCAGCAACUCAUUGGAACCUUGUGGAAGCUUAAGAGUAAUGGUACUAUCAACAAUGUUCAUGUCUGAUUCUUUAGGAAAACCAGAAACAUAGUCCUUCAGAAUCACUUGCUUGUUCCUCACUUGUGUCAUCUUAGGAAUUGUGUCACCACAGAUGUGUUCAGAUUUGUCUGUGUGGUGUUGAAUUCAUUAAAUAAAGGAAUGGUACCAUACUAUUGUUGGCCACACAUUGUUGGAAAUGGAUUACAUGCAAUAUUUAGCAAAUUUUAAUUGGUUUAAUUAUGACAGCAAGGAUAAAAUGGGAAAAUCAAAUUGUAGCUAUCUGUUAUGUUUAGUUUUCUUGACAUGUCACAUGUGUAUUAGAUACUCGAAGAAUCUAAAUUUUAUUUCAAUAAAAACCUUAAUUAUUUAGUUCAAUCUUUGACCGAUGCAUAUCGAAGAAUUCUAAAUUUUAUUUCAACAAAAACGAAAAAAAGUUGUGAAUCACCAGAAGUAGGCAUAUCAAAGUACAUUUAAGUCUAUCGUAAGGUGUGAAAGUAGAAGAUAAUUACAAUAACAAUGCGCGCAUCUACAUUCAUUCACUCACGAGUAACAACAACCACUUGUUUGCCAACAUUUUGACCACUGAAGAGACCAACCAAUGCUGCUGGGCUAUUCUCAAGUCCUUCAGCUAUGUCUUCCACAUACGCAAUCUUUCCUUCUCUUAUAAGAGGCAAGACAAACUCCAAGAAUUUUGUAUAAAGAUGAUAGUAUUCAAAUACACCAAAACCUUCCAUCCGAAUCCGCUUAUAUAUGAUAUGUGCUAAAUUUGUGAUACCUUCAGGUUGAGUAAGAUUAUACUGUGAAAUCAUUCCGCAGACAGGUAUGCGACCAUGGACUUUCAUAUUCAACAGUACAGCAUCAAGUGUCUUGCCUCCAACAUUCUCAAAGUAAAUGUCAAUGCCUUCUGGAAAAUACCUGAUUUACAUAAAUGGAUAUAUAUCCAC